GAUGAACGCUGGCGGCGUGCCUAAUACAUGCAAGUCGAGCGAACGGACGAGAAGCUUGCUUCUCUGAUGUUAGCGGCGGACGGGUGAGUAACACGUGGAUAACCUACCUAUAAGACUGGGAUAACUUCGGGAAACCGUAGCUAAUACCGGAUAAUAUUUUGAACCGCAUGGUUCAAAAGUGAAAGACGGUCUUGCUGUCACUUAUAGAUGGAUCCGCGCUGCAUUAGCUAGUUGGUAAGUUAACGGCUUACCAAGGCAACGAUGCAUAGCCGACCUGAGAGGGUGAUCGGCCACACUGGAACUGAGAUACGGUCCAGACUCCUACGGGAGGCAGCAGUAGGGAAUCUUCCGCAAUGGGCGAAAGCCUGACGGAGCAACGCCGCGUGAGUGAUGAAGGUCUUCGGAUCGUAAAACUCUGUUAUUAGGGAAGAACAUAUGUGUAAGUAACUGUGCACACCUUGACGGUACCUAAUCAGAAAGCCACGGCUAACUACGUG
rnacentral:rRNA from 1 species